GAGGAAUAUUGCACAAUGGGCGCAAGCCUGAUGCAGCAACGCCGCGUGAGGGACGAAGGCCUUCGGGUCGUAAACCUCUUUUCUGGGGGACGAGUAAGGACGGUACCCCAGGAAUAAGUCUCGGCUAACUACGUGCCAGCAGCCGCGGUAAAACGUAGGAGGCGAGCGUUAUCCGGAUUUACUGGGCGUAAAGCGUACGCAGGUGGCUUCGUUAGUCGGACAUGAAAGCUCCUGGCUUAACUGGGAGAGGUUGUUCGAUACUGCGGGGCUUGAGGUUGGGAGAGGGACGUGGAAUUCCCGGUGUAGUGGUGGAAUGCGUAGAUAUCGGGAGGAACACCAGUGGCGCAAGCGGCGUCCUGGCCCACACCUGACGCUGAGGUACGAAAGCGUGGGUAGCAAACAG
rnacentral:rRNA from 1 species